rnacentral:rRNA from 1 species
GACGAACGCUGGCGGCGUGCUUAACACAUGCAAGUCGAACGAUGAAGCUAGAGCUUGCUCUGGUGAAUUAGUGGCGAACGGGUGAGUAACACGUGAGUAACCUGCCCCGAACUCUGGGAUAACUGCUGGAAACGGUAGCUAAUACUGGAUACGACCCACGAAGGCAUCUUCUGUAGGUGGAAAGAAUUUCGGUUCGGGAUGGACUCGCGGCCUAUCAGCUUGUUGGUGAGGUAAUGGCUCACCAAGGCGAAGACGGGUAGCCGGCCUGAGCGGCUGACCGGCCACACUGGGACUGAGACACAGCCCAGACUCCUACGGGAGGCAGCAGUGGGGAAUAUUGCACAAUGGGCGCAAGCCUGAUGCAGCAACGCCGCGUGAGGGAUGACGGCCUUCGGGUUGUAAACCUCUUUUAGUAGGGAAGAAGCGAAAGUGACGGUACCUGCAGAAAAAGCACCGGCUAACUACGUGCCAGCCGCCGCAGUAA